rnacentral:rRNA from 1 species
UACGUAGGUGACAAGCGUUGUCCGGAUUUACUGGGCGUAAAGAGCGCGCAGGCGGUCGAUCAAGUCGAGUGUGAAAGCCCCCGGCUCAACUGGGGAGGGUCAUUCGAUACUGAUCGACUCGAAGGCAGGAGAGGGUAGUGGAAUUCCCGGUGUAGUGGUGAAAUGCGUAGAUAUCGGGAGGAACACCUGAGGCGAAGGCGGGCUACUGGGCCGAUACUGACGCUGAUGCGCGAAAGCCAGGGGAGCGAACAGG